rnacentral:tRNA from 1 species
GCCUGGGUGGCUCAGUCGGUUAAGCAUCUGACUUGGGCUCAGGUCAUGAUCUUACGGUUCGCGGGUUCUACCCCCGCGCUGGGUA